GUACAUCCAGAGAACUUAGCAGAGAUGCUUUGGUGCCUUCGGGAACUCUGAGACAGGUGCUGCAUGGCUGUCGUCAGCUCGUGUUGUGAAAUGGUUGGUUAAGUCCCGCAACGAGCGCAACCCUUAUCCUUUGUUGCCAGCGGUUCGGCCGGGAACUCAAAGGAGACUGCCGGUGAUAAACCGGAGGAAGGUGGGGAUGACGUCAAGUCAUCAUGGCCCUUACGGCCAGGGCUACACACGUGCUACAAUGGCGCAUACAAAGAGAAGCGACCUCGCGAGAGCAAGCGGACCUCAUAAAGUGCGUCGUAGUCCGGAUUGGAGUCUGCAACUCGACUCCAUGAAGUCGGAAUCGCUAGUAAUCGUAGAUCAGAAUGCUACGGUGAAUACGUUCCCGGGCCUUGUACACACCGCCCGUCACACCAUGGGAGUGGGUUGCAAAAGAAGUAGGUAGCUUAACCUUCGGGAGGGCGCUUACCACUUUGUGAUUCAUGACUGGGGUGAAGUCGUAACAAGGUAAGCGUAGCGAG
rnacentral:rRNA from 1 species